rnacentral:rRNA from 1 species
CCUACGGGUGGCAGCAGUAGGGAAUCUUCCACAAUGGGCGCAAGCCUGAUGGAGCAACACCGCGUGAGUGAAGAAGGGUUUCGGCUCGUAAAGCUCUGUUGUUGGAGAAGAACGUGCGUGAGAGUAACUGUUCACGCCGUGACGGUAUCCAACCAGAAAGUCACGGCUAACUACGUGCCAGCAGCCGCGGUAAUACGUAGGUGGCAAGCGUUAUCCGGAUUUAUUGGGCGUAAAGCGAGCGCAGGCGGUUGCUUAGGUCUGAUGUGAAAGCCUUCGGCUUAACCGAAGAAGUGCAUCGGAAGCCGGGCAACUUGAGUGCAGAAGAGGACAGUGGAACUCCAUGUGUAGCGGUGGAAUGCGUAGAUAUAUGGAAGAACACCAGUGGCGAAGGCGGCUGUCUGGUCUGCAACUGACGCUGAGGCUCGAAAGCAUGGGUAGCGAACAGGAUUAGAUACCCGUGUAGUC